rnacentral:rRNA from 1 species
GUCGAACGGCAGCGCGGGGCAACCUGGCGGCGAGUGGCGAACGGGUGAGUAAUAUAUCGGAACGUACCCAAGAGUGGGGGAUAACGUAGCGAAAGUUACGCUAAUACCGCAUACGAUCUAAGGAUGAAAGCAGGGGAUCUUCGGACCUUGUGCUCCUGGAGCGGCCGAUAUCUGAUUAGCUAGUUGGUGAGGUAAAGGCUCACCAAGGCCACGAUCAGUAGCUGGUCUGAGAGGACGACCAGCCACACUGGAACUGAGACACGGUCCAGACUCCUACGGGAGGCAGCAGUGGGGAAUUUUGGACAAUGGGCGAAAGCCUGAUCCAGCAAUGCCGCGUGAGUGAAGAAGGCCUUCGGGUUGUAAAGCUCUUUUGUCAGGGAAGAAACGGUGAGGGCUAAUAUCCCUCGCUAAUGACGGUACCUGAAGAAUAAGCACCGGCUAACUACGUGCCAGCAGCCGCGGUAAUACGUAGGGUGCAAGCGUUAAUCGGAAUUACUGGGCGUAAAGCGUGCGCAGGCGGUUUUGUAAGUCUGACGUGAAAUCCCCGGGCUCAACCUGGGAAUUGCGUUGGAGACUGCAAGGCUAGAAUCUGGCAGAGGGGGGUAGAAUUCCACGUGUAGCAGUGAAAUGCGUAGAGAUGUGGAGGAACACCGAUGGCGAAGGCAGCCCCCUGGGUCAAGAUUGACGCUCAUGCACGAAAGCGUGGGGAGCAAACAGGAUUAGAUACCCUGGUAGUCCACGCCCUAAACGAUGUCUACUAGUUGUCGGGUUUUAAUUAACUUGGUAACGCAGCUAACGCGUGAAGUAGACCGCCUGGGGAGUACGGUCGCAAGAUUAAAACUCAAAGGAAUU